AAAGCAGGCAGUUCUAUCGCCUCGUGUUACGGGGAGGAAAGUCCGGACAGCAAAGGGCGUUGCACUUCUGAAAUAGAAGAUGCUCGUGAGGGUAUGGUAACGAAGAAGAAAAUAACAGCCUUGGUAACGAGGUAAUGGUGAGAAGGUGGGGUAAGAGCCUACCGGUAGCAGUGGCGACACUGUUAGCCGUUCGUCCUGCAAGCUGCAAGACCAAGUAUAUCGACAAGGUAUUAGUACCAAAAAGAUUGCCCGUCUGUGUCGAGGGGUAGGUCGCAUUAGAUAAAUGAUAGAAAUUUUCUUAUGAAAAUACAGAAUCCGGCUUAUAUGCCUGCUUUUUUU
rnacentral:RNase_P_RNA from 1 species